rnacentral:rRNA from 1 species
UACGUAGGCAGCGAGCGUUGUUCGGAAUUACUGGGCGUAAAGCGUGCGCAGGCGGCUUCUCAAGUCAGGGGUGAAAGCCCAGAGCUCAACUCUGGAAUUGCCUUUGAGACUGAGUGGCUUGAGUACGGGAGAGGUGAGUGGAAUUCCCAGUGUAGAGGUGAAAUUCGUAGAUAUUGGGAAGAACACCGGUGGCGAAGGCGGCUCACUGGCCCGUAACUGACGCUCAUGCACGACAGCGUGGGGAUCAAACAGG